rnacentral:rRNA from 1 species
GUAGGUGGCAAGCGUUGUCCGGAAUUAUUGGGCGUAAAGCGCGCGCAGGCGGUUCUUUAAGUCUGAUGUGAAAGCCCACGGCUCAACCGUGGAGGGUCAUUGGAAACUGGAGAACUAGAGUACAGAAGAGGAAAGCGGAAUUCCACGUGUAGCGGUGAAAUGCGUAGAGAUGUGGAGGAACACCAGUGGCGAAGGCGGCUUUCUGGUCUGUAACUGACGCUGAGGCGCGAAAGCGUGGGGAGCAAACAGGGAUUAGAUACCCUGGUAGUCCACGCCGUAAACGAUGAGUGCUAAGUGUUAGGGGGGUUUCCGCCCCCUUAGUGCUGCAGCUAACGCAUUAAGCACUCCGCCUGGGGAUACGGCCGCAAGGCUG